rnacentral:rRNA from 1 species
UACAGAGGGGGCAAGCGUUGUUCGGAAUUACUGGGCGUAAAGGGCGCGUAGGCGGCCUGUUAAGUCGAACGUGAAAUCCCCGGGCUCAACCCGGGAACUGCGUCCGAUACUGGCAGGCUUGAAUUCGGGAGAGGGAUGCGGAAUUCCAGGUGUAGCGGUGAAAUGCGUAGAUAUCUGGAGGAACACCGGUGGCGAAGGCGGCAUCCUGGACCGAGAUUGACGCUGAUGCGCGAAAGCGUGGGGAGCAAACAGG